rnacentral:sRNA from 1 species
UACCUAUUCAAAGAGAUAAAUCUUGCUUUCUUCAAGGGAGUUGUCGGUAUUAGGUCGACCAGCAAUGGUCUCCAGCAUGACCACUCCAAAUGCAAAAACAUCAGCCUUUUCUGUCAAACGACCUCUCAUUGCAUACUCAGGAGCUAGAUAACCACUUCACAAAGAUCAAACGAGUUAAAAGUAGCAUUCAUUUAGAAGUUAUAGUUGUAUGAAGACAAAUGUUGAUUUGUUCUUACAUUGUGCCCGCAAUUCCUGUGCUCACAUGAGUCUGAUUCUCAUCAUAGAGCUUUGCGAGUCCAAAGUCAGAGAUCUUUGGGGUGAGAUCAAUGUCAAGAAGGAUAUUACUAGCUUUGAUGUCCCUAUGCACAAUGCGCACACUUGACUCCUCGUGAAGAUAAGUUAGUCCUCUUGCUAUGCCUAAAAUAAUCUCGAAGCGCGUUGCCCAGUCAAGGUUAAAGCUAUUCUGACCUUUACAAGUUGACAUAA